AUUGAACGCUGGCGGCAGGCCUAACACAUGCAAGUCGAGCGGAGCGGCGGCCGGGUGAGUAAUGGCUAGGAAUCUGCAUGGGAGUGGGGGAUAACGUCCGGAAACGGGCGCUAAUACCGCAUACUAUCAGAUUAGGAUAGGUCGGAUUUGCUAGUGGGUGGGGUAAGGGCCUACCAAGGCGACGAUCCGUAACUGGUCUGAGAGGAUGAUCAGCCACACUGGAACUGAGACACGGUCCAGACUCCUACGGGAGGCAGCAGUGGGGAAUAUUGGACAAUGGGCGCAAGCCUGAUCCAGCCAUGCCGCGUGUGUGAAGAAGGUCUUCGGAUUGUAAAGUACUUUCAGUUGGGAGGCGUUACCCACAGAAUAAGCACCGGCUAACUUCGUGCCAGCAGCCGCGGUAAUUC
rnacentral:rRNA from 1 species